rnacentral:rRNA from 1 species
UACGUAGGGCGCAAGCGUUGUCCGGAAUUAUUGGGCGUAAAGAGCUCGUAGGCGGUUUGUCGCGUCUGCUGUGAAAACCUAAGGCUCAACCUUGGGCUUGCAGUGGGUACGGGCAGACUAGAGUGCGGUAGGGGAGACUGGAAUUCCUGGUGUAGCGGUGAAAUGCGCAGAUAUCAGGAGGAACACCGAUGGCGAAGGCAGGUCUCUGGGCCACUACUGACGCUGAGAAGCGAAAGCAUGGGGAGCGAACAGG